CUAACGCAUUAAGCACUCCGCCUGGGGAGUACGACCGCAAGGUUGAAACUCAAAGGAAUUGACGGGGGCCCGCACAAGCGGUGGAGCAUGUGGUUUAAUUCGAAGCAACGCGAAGAACCUUACCAGGUCUUGACAUCCUUUGACCACUCUGGAGACAGAGCUUUCCCUUCGGGGACAAAGUGACAGGUGGUGCAUGGUUGUCGUCAGCUCGUGUCGUGAGAUGUUGGGUUAAGUCCCGCAACGAGCGCAACCCUUGAUUUUAGUUGCCAGCAUUUAGUUGGGCACUCUAAAGUGACUGCCGGUGCAAGCCGGAGGAAGGUGGGGAUGACGUCAAAUCAUCAUGCCCCUUAUGACCUGGGCUACACACGUGCUACAAUGGAUAGUACAAAGGGUCGCGAAGCCGCGAGGUGGAGCUAAUCCCAUAAAACUAUUCUCAGUUCGGAUUGUAGGCUGCAACUCGCCUACAUGAAGCCGGAAUCGCUAGUAAUCGUGGAUCAGCAUGCCACGGUGAAUACGUUCCCGGGCCUUGUACACACCGCCCGUCACACCACGAGAGUUUGUAACACCCGAAGUCGGUAGGGUAACCUUUAUGGAGCCAGCCGCCGAAGGUGGGACAGAUAAUUGGGGUGAAGUCGUAACAAGGUAGCCGUAUCGGAAGGUGCGGCUGGAUCACCUCCUUU
rnacentral:rRNA from 1 species